UCAAACUCGGUCAGUGCCGACUCAGGCGGAUUAUAAGAAAAAUACUUAUAAAAUUAUUCUACUUGAGGAUUUUAAUUUUUCGUGCUUAAAACUGUAAGAAUGCUCACUUUAAAUAUUUUCCCGACUUCAUGCUACGAAGACCCGAGAUUUACCACUGCUUUUUAAAAAGUUGCGAUAUUGCAUGAUAUAGGAGUGAAGUCCGGACACCCCAGAGACUGUGAAAAGUAAUGAUUUUUUCCAGCUCUAUUUUCAUGAACUUUAUUCAUUAAGAAAAAUACCUAUAAAAAUACCCAACUAGAUUUUUACCUUUAAAAAGGCACAAAGUGGGAAGUGUCAUGGAUCAGUGAAAGAGGUGAACUUAUGUAUCUUGCCUGAGUGAGGAUCUCCAGAGAGGUAAUUGCUUAUUUUGUAUUGUUGGGUUCUGUUAUUUUGCUACUCUAAAGGACCUAGACCUAUAACAGCAUUUGAGCAUAAAGAAGGGAUUUGUUCUGAGUCAUGGCCAUACUUGGAGGGAAUGCUGUAUAUCUUGAUAACUCCACAAAGGAGUAUUAAUGACAACUUGUUGGGAAUAAUCAAUGAAAUCUGAGUGGAAGACCAAUGUAAAAUUUAUCUGGUUGGUGGAAAAGUGACCUUCAAGAGGGUGAGGGCAUGGAGUUGAGACAAAAGUGAGGGUUUGGGAAAGUAGGAAAUUGUCCAAGUUAGAUAAAAGUAAGGUCCUUUUCGUUAUGGUAUGAAGACCAUUUUGCAAUGUUUUUGUAUAUGUUUCAGA